AGGUCCUCAGCUCAGACUGUGCACUCUUAGAGGAACAAAUUCCAGCCUUGGGAGUAAGGAGGAGUAUCAACAGAACUUCAUUAAAAAAAAUUAUGCAUGCAUACAGUCACAAAGACGCAAAGGACAGAAAAGGAAAAACAGUUAAAAAGGAAGUUUUUAAGGACUGGUAAUCAUUGCAGUAUUUAACAGCUGCCUGCAUUUGCUUAGCUCUACCUCUGCUGAAAAGGCUUCUACACAUGGACAAUUGAGGUUGCUUAUUCACCUCAGUAUUGGAUGCAUCUUUUACAGCAUCAAGCAAGGUGAUUAACAUUCACUGCAUUUGUUUCUCAUCUGUCUUCAAGCAAAUAAGGAUAUGGAAUAUUUAGUAUAGUAUAUAAAUAUGACUUUGCUGCCUAUCUUAGACAAAAACACCCAUUCCUUAGAGCAGAGAAUUUUUAGUUCAUAUUGGUUCAAAGACCACACCUUGGAGAAUGCACUUAAUUGUGGUAAAGCCUUUGGUGACCACAAGCAGGAUGAAGACAAUCUUUUAGUCUAAGGUAAGGACUGAGAUGUUGAUCUUGAUUCAGUGGGGAGGCAGAGCAAGGCACCUGGGACAAGUGUUCACACUGGAAGUCGGGGUUGCUGAUUUCUUGCAGGUUUCUCUAACAGCUGGUAUGUAAAAAACCAUACAGGCUAUAUUUUGUUGUCACAGGGUACAUGAUGAAUGCAUGAGAUUAUGAAAUUUUCAGUCCAAAAGUCUUUGUAUCUUCAUAGCAGCUAUAAAUGACCAAUAAUUCUGGCUGCAAAAUUUUUCAUUUUAAGACUUCUAAAUCUUUUUUAUACACAGAUACUUUUCAUAAGCAACAUAUAGAAAGACCUGGCUGAACAUAGAAGUUGAAACAGUUC